GAUGAACGCUGGCGGCGUGCUUAACACAUGCAAGUCGAACGGAAAGGCUCCUGCUUGCAGGGGUACUCGAGUGGCGAACGGGUGAGUAACACGUGGGUGAUCUGCCCUGCACUUCGGGAUAAGCCUGGGAAACUGGGUCUAAUACUGGAUAGGACGAUGGUUUGGAUGCCAUUGUGGAAAGUUUUUCGGUGUGGGAUGAGCUCGCGGCCUAUCAGCUUGUUGGUGGGGUAAUGGCCUACCAAGGCGUCGACGGGUAGCCGGCCUGAGAGGGUGUACGGCCACAUUGGGACUGAGAUACGGCCCAGACUCCUACGGGAGGCAGCAGUGGGGAAUAUUGCACAAUGGGCGCAAGCCUGAUGCAGCGACGCCGCGUGGGGGAUGACGGCCUUCGGGUUGUAAACUCCUUUCGCUAGGGACGAAGUGCAAGUGACGGUACCUGGAGAAGAAGCACCGGCUAACUACGUG
rnacentral:rRNA from 1 species